rnacentral:rRNA from 1 species
GAUGAACGCUGGCGGCGUGCCUAACACAUGCAAGUCGAACGGAGUCGUUUUGGAAAUCUCUUCGGAGAUGGAAUUCUCGACUUAGUGGCGGACGGGUGAGUAACGCGUGAGCAAUCUGCCUUUAAGAGGGGGAUAACAGUCGGAAACGGCUGCUAAUACCGCAUAAAGCAUUAAAUUCGCAUGUUUUUGAUGCCAAAGGAGCAAUCCGCUUUUAGAUGAGCUCGCGUCUGAUUAGCUAGUUGGCGGGGUAACGGCCCACCAAGGCGACGAGCAGUAGCCGGACUGAGAGGUUGAACGGCCACAUUGGGACUGAGACACGGCCCAGACUCCUACGGGAGGCAGCAGUGGGGAAUAUUGCGCAAUGGGGGAAACCCUGACGCAGCAACGCCGCGUGAUUGAAGAAGGCCUUCGGGUUGUAAAGAUCUUUAAUCAGGGACGAAACAAAUGACGGUACCUGAAGAAUAAGCUCCGGCUAACUACGUG